GGGGAAUAUUGCACAAUGGGGGAAACCCUGAUGCAGCGACGCCGCGUGAGCGAUGAAGUAUUUCGGUAUGUAAAGCUCUAUCAGCAGGGAAGAAAAUGACGGUACCUGACUAAGAAGCACCGGCUAAAUACGUGCCAGCAGCCGCGGUAAUACGUAUGGUGCAAGCGUUAUCCGGAUUUACUGGGUGUAAAGGGAGCGUAGACGGAGUGGCAAGUCUGAUGUGAAAACCCGAGGCUCAACCCCGGGACUGCAUUGGAAACUGUCAAUCUAGAGUACCGGAGAGGUAAGCGGAAUUCCUAGUGUAGCGGUGAAAUGCGUAGAUAUUAGGAGGAACACCAGUGGCGAAGGCGGCUUACUGGACGGUAACUGACGUUGAGGCUCGAAAGCGUGGGGAGCAAAC
rnacentral:rRNA from 1 species